rnacentral:tRNA from 1 species
GUAGGUCAAUGGAUAGAGCGUCUGUUUCCUAAGCAGGAGGCCGUAGGUUCGACCCCUACC